rnacentral:rRNA from 1 species
AGAGUUUGAUCAUGGCUCAGAUUGAACGCUGGCGGCAGGCUUAACACAUGCAAGUCGAGCGGAUGAAGGUAGCUUGCUACUGGAUUCAGCGGCGGACGGGCGAGUAAUGCUUAGGAAUCUGCCUAUUAGUGGGGGACAACGUUCCGAAAGGAGCGCUAAUACCGCAUACGUCCUACGGGAGAAAGCAGGGGACCUUUGGGCCUUGCGCUAAUAGAUGAGCCUAAGUCGGAUUAGCUAGUUGGUAGGGUAAAGGCCUACCAAGGCGACGAUCUGUAGCGGGUCUGAGAGGAUGAUCCGCCACACUGGGACUGAGACACGGCCCAGACUCCUACGGGAGGCAGCAGUGGGGAAUAUUGGACAAUGGGGGGAACCCUGAUCCAGCCAUGCCGCGUGUGUGAAGAAGGCCUUUUGGUUGUAAAGCACUUUAAGCGAGGAGGAGGCUACCUAGAUUAAUACUUUAGGAUAGUGGACGUUACUCGCAGAAUAAGCACCGGCUAACUCUGUGCCAGCAGCCGCGGUAAUACAGAGGGUGCGAGCGUUAAUCGGAUUUACUGGGCGUAAAGCGUGCGUAGGCGGCCAAUUAAGUCAAAUGUGAAAUCCCCGAGCUUAACUUGGGAAUUGCAUUCGAUACUGGUUGGCUAGAGUAUGGGAGAGGAUGGUAGAAUUCCAGGUGUAGCGGUGAAAUGCGUAGAGAUCUGGAGGAAUACCGAUGGCGAAGGCAGCCAUCUGGCCUAAUACUGACGCUGAGGUACGAAAGCAUGGGGAGCAAACAGGAUUAGAUACCCUGGUAGUCCAUGCCGUAAACGAUGUCUACUAGCCGUUGGGGCCCUUGAGGCUUUAGUGGCGCAGCUAACGCGAUAAGUAGACCGCCUGGGGAGUACGGUCGCAAGACUAAAACUCAAAUGAAUUGACGG